GUUUGAUUGGAAAUUAGUGCAAGCUGUGUGCUAGCCUUCCUUUCAAUCCCCCAGCUUAAACCUCUUGCUGCUCACACCAGGCUGUAAUGCUACCUGUUGUCUGUGUUCUGAUAUGUGCUCCAACCAGAUGGUGAUAACUCUGGUUUUGGAAUGAAAGUUUCUUCAUUUCAUUUAGCUUGAAUUCACACAAUCUUCAUUGUGUGAAGAUGGAAUGGCUCCUGGAAAUGUGGAUGCAGCAGCCAGACAUGUGGUGCAGCAGGUUGGCAAACAGGGCCAUUGCUGCAUUGUGUACAUGUACUAUUCCAAGCAAAACAGUGCCAAGGCCCUGUGUGCUGCCAUUUCUUAAAAGCAAAUGUACUGCAUGAAGGAGAAGACACCUGGAGACCACAGAAAGUUUUGGGAGGCCCAGGACAAAUACUGGACAGACGUCAGCAAAUCUACAGCUGGAUCAGGCAGCAAGCCAAAACAGGUAAACACUAAUCAAAUUGGGCAGAUGGCAUGGAGAGAACAGGAACAGCAUGUCCCAAAAGGAGCAGUUGUCAGCGAUCAAACGGGAUCUUAGAAGAAGGACUUGAAUAAUCACAGAUUUAUUUCUUUAUGGUACAAACAGCUGCUGAGGUCUAUGAGCACCAAUGCCUCUUCAUGCACUGAUGGGAGCUAGGUGCAAUGGUAGUGGAAAGUUGUUUUUUCAAGUAAAAGAACUGUAAUUUUCAUCUAGGUUUGGCUUUCCUUGCCAAAAGACAGAGAAGACUAUCCUGAAUGAGGGAAACAAAUGAAAAGAAAUGCCAAAAAUAAGAUUAAAUAGCAGAACCUUCCAAUUCACAUCUUACAUACUCAGUAGCUUUCGUUAGUGUUUUCCAUCCUUUCAUACUUCCUUGAUAGAUAGUGCUGCUGUAUCUC
rnacentral:lncRNA from 1 species